rnacentral:rRNA from 1 species
UGUGGUUUAAUUCGAAGCAACGCGAAGAACCUUACCAGGCCUUGACAUGCAGAGAACUUUCCAGAGAUGGAUUGGUGCCUUCGGGAACUCUGACACAGGUGCUGCAUGGCUGUCGUCAGCUCGUGUCGUGAGAUGUUGGGUUAAGUCCCGUACGAGCGCAACCCUUGUCUUAUGUUGCCAGCACGUGAUGGUGGGGACUCGUAAGAGACUGCCGGGGUCAACUCGGAGGAAGGUGGGGACGACGUCAAGUCAUCAUGCCCCUUAUGUCCAGGGCUUCACACAUGCUACAAUGGCCAGUACAGAGGGCUGCGAGACCGUGAGGUGGAGCGAAUCCCUUAAAAGCUGGUCUCAGUUCGGAUCGGGGUCUGCAACUCGACCCCGUGAAGUCGGAGUCGCUAGUAAUCGCAGAUCAGCAACGCUGCGGUGAAUACGUUCCCGGGCCUU